GGGAAUACUGCAGAGCUAGGGAGUGGGAGAGGUAGACGGUACUCGGUAGGAAGGGGUAAAAUCCUUUGAUCUAUUGAUGACCACCUGUGGCGAAGGCGGUCUACUAGAACCCNCGUCCGACGGUGAGGGAUGAAAGCUGGGGGAGCAAACCGGAUUAGAUACCCGGGUAGUCCCAGCUGUAAACAAUGCAAACUCAGUGAUGCACUGGCUUGUGGCCAGUGCAGUGCCGCAGGGAAGCCGUUAAGUUUGCCGCCUGGGAAGUACGUACGCAAGUAUGAAACUUAAAGGAAUUGGCGGGGGAGCACCACAAGGGGUGAAGCCUGCGGUUCAAUUGGAGUCAACGCCAGAAAUCUUACCCGGAGAGACAGCAGAAUGAAGGUCAAGCUGAAGACUUUACCAGACAAGCUGAGAGGUGGUGCAUGGCCGUCGCCAGCUCGUGCCGUGAGAUGUCCUGUUAAGUCAGGUAACGAGCGAGAUCCUUGCCUCUAGUUGCCACCAUUGCUCUCAGGAGCAGUGGGGCGAAUUAGCGGGACCGCCGCAGUUAAUGCGGAGGAAGGAAAGGGCCACGGCAGGUCAGUAUGCCCCGAAACUCUGGGGCCACACGCGUGCUGCAAUGAUAGUGACAAUGGGUUCCGAAUCCGAAAGGAGGAGGUAAUCCUCAAACGCUAUCACAGUUAUGACUGAGGGCUGCAACUCGCCCUCACGAAUAUGGAAUCCCUAGUAACUGCGUGUCAUUACCGCGCAGUGAAUACGUCCCUGCUCCUUGCACACACCGCCCGU
rnacentral:rRNA from 1 species